CAGGGGUAGGGGGGUGGUCCCUCAGCCCAGAUUGUGAGAGGGCACAGGCCAGGCCGAGGGACCCCACUGGUGCACA
rnacentral:pre_miRNA from 1 species